rnacentral:lncRNA from 1 species
GCCUGAUAAGCAGUGCCAUGUCCGCGCCCAGGAUCCGAACCCUGGGCCGCUGCAGCGGAGCGCGCGAACUUAACCACUCGGCCACGGAGCCGGCCCCGAAGUCCUAGAAUGAAAUUGCUGUCCUCGUGGAUGGAUUCCAGAAGCUCAAAGAAUCCAACGUGGUUAUAUACCAAGAAACAAAAACAAAAUCAGACCAACACAUGGUGGUCAAAACCAAAGAUAAAAAUAAAAUCUUGAAAAGAACCAGAGAAAAAAGAAAUAUUAUACACAGAGAUUUGGAGAUAAAAAUCAUAGAGACUUCUCAUCAUAAAAUAUCAGAAAAGCCUUCUUAUCAGAAAAGCCACAAGACAAUGGGAAAUCUUCUUUAAAGUACUGAAGAAAAAAAACUAUCAACUGUGAAUUCUAUACACAGUAAAAAUGUGUUUUAAAAGUAAGAGUAAAGAAAAAAGACUUUCAGACAAACAAAAGCUAAGAGAUGUCAAUGCCCACAGACUUGUACUAUAAGAAAUAUUUAAUCCUAAAGAAAGUUAUUCAGGCAGAAAAAGUAUUAUAUCAGAUGGAAAUUGAGAUCUCACAAAGAACUGAAAAGCACCAGAAAAGGUAAAAAGAAGGGUAAAUAUAAAAACCAAUCUUCUUAUAUUUAAUCUCUCUAAAACAUAAUUGACUAUUGGAAGUAAAAUAUUGUAUCAAUGUAUUGUGGAGUUUUUAACAAAGGUAGAAAUAAUUUUUUUUUUUAAAAAAAAAAAAAGCAAAAAGAAAGGGAUAGAGAUAAGGUACACCGCAGUAAGUUUCUUCAUUAUGUGUGAAAGAGUACAAUAUUAUUUGAAGGUAGAAUGUCAUAAAUUAAUGAUAACUAUAAAUUACACGCCUAGUAGGGUAUAACAAGGCCAAUGUGGACAUAAAAUGGAACCAUAAAAAAUAUUCAAUUAGUUUAAAAGAAGGCAGGAAAAGAAAAAAGUAGCAGAAAAUAAAUGGGACAAAUAGAAAACCCCCAAGGUGGUUGAAUUAAAUACAACCAUACCAAUUAUACUAAACCUAAAAGGUCUAAUGCCUUAAUGUAAAAAGCAGAGAUUGCAUACUGGAUAGGAAAACAAGACUCAAGAAUGAGCUGUCUAGAAUAAACUUAUGUAAAUAUUAAACAUAGGUUAAAAGUAAAAGGAGGAAAAAGAUAUGCUAUGCAAACAUGAAUCAAGA